GUCAAGAAUUUGAGUUCUGGUUCCAGACAGACCUGGUUCCAGGUACAGUUCCGUGAUGUGCUAAAUGUCUGCCCUUUUCUGGGUUUCCAUUUCCGCUUCAUUCAUGCGAGGAUGACGUCAUCUCUCUUACAUAUGCUGCAGAAUGUCUGACAGACAGCAGAAACUCGGUAACUGUGAACUCCCGGUCCACUUCUCCACUUCACCCUAAAAGGAAACUGAAAAACUCUGUGGAUGCCCUGGGGCCCAGCCAGCCUGGGGCUGCUCUCCAUAUCAGGGGGCUGCUUCAGGAGGAUGUUUGAAACAAGUAAGGGUUCCAGAAACAAGCGCAUGCCUCUCAAGGAUCUGUGCUGCCCGGAAUUGGCUAGUGAAAAAAUGUAGAAGGGGAGAAUAUCCAUCAGACCAGAAAAACAGAGACACGGAAUAGAAACCGAGAAGGUGGAAACGGAAACAAUGACUACAGAGAAAUAGACUCCACACCACAGAAAGUGACGGGAAAAGGCAAAGGGGAGAACAGCAAAGCCAGAGAGUGGAGUGGGGAGUGAAAGCAAGCUACCAAGACAGAGCCGGGAAGAGUGAGACAGAACAAGCCUCAGCCUCCAAGUAUAGAAAUUUAACGAUUAACUAUGUGAGCCACUGUGUGGCUCCCAGUUCUUCCCGUUCCUCAAAAUAUAAUAGAUCUCAGUGUUCAGUGAAACUAAAGUUCAGAACCUACUGCAAAAUUGCUUGGUUCCUCAAACUCUUCAAAUGUUUUCCUUGUGCAAACAAAAGAGCAAAAAUGCCCUCUCCCGUUUUUUUUUUUUUUUUUUUAAGGCUACGUAAUUUCCAAGAUUUUGGAAAGCAAAAUCCACAAGUGUGAUCCUGGAAGGUGACUAAGCUGGACAACUGGGCUUCGAGGCAUAUUGUUACAGAGAUAAGAUACUUUAUGACAUCAAAAGGAACUCAGCUCUGAUGCCAUGUGUGCAGGUCAGCCUGGAAAUUGGGUCAAGAGUGAAUAUCAAAGGUUAAUAUCACAGGCCCUGGAGGCGAGAGAUUCUCCAUGGAUUCUUCUUGUGAAUUGGAGGGGCCAAGUGUCUUUCAUCUUCUGGGCUCCACAUGGGAGGGGCCCGCUCGCCCAGGGAGGCCAUCAAGUCCAGGCCCAGAUGUCUCACUCCUGCAGCCGACAGACUCUAUAAACAAGCUGUUGGGUCAGAGAGCCCUCGGACUGGGGCCCAGUGAGCUGCGUUACUGAGGCAGUCAACUCUCAGUGAACUUUGUGAUCUUGAAGAUGCAUCUAUGUGGUAGAUAGAGUGAAGACAAGCCUGUUUUCCAUUAAACAUCAUAGCCCUAUCUACAGGGGUUCCAGCAACCUCUUCAUGCAGAGGUAGAGUGCCCAUCUCCUUGGGCAUGAGAACUGUUUGAGAGCUUUAACUUUCUUGAGACGAGUCCAGCUCUGCUAAGUUGGCUGUCAAAAACAAGGUUCUCCUUGCGGAUUUUUUCUUCAGGAACCCCACCAAGGGCUUCCCGGGAAGAUCAAAGAGAAAGCUUCCCUUGUGGUGCUGUCUGGAGAACAGCAAAUACUGGAACCCCGUCACCACUCUCUUCCCCAAGGAAGGAAAUAUUCAGCAGGAAGCACAACACAGCUAUAGUCUAAAGGCACUGAUGGAAAUUCAUUGAAGCUGGGAUAAGGGAAUAGAGAGGAAAAGGAAUGCUCUACCUGUGGUAAAGAGGCAGGAAUUCAUGCUGAGUGUAGCAUUACAUCUGGAGAAGGAUGAGAACACCUGAGAGAGCCACAACCCUGAGUUCCAGAUUGACCGUGACUGCCUACAACCGAGGCUUAAUCAGAACAUCAGAGAAGGGACCCUCCCGGUACCUACCACCUCCAUGCUGUCAAGCAUUAAGUAAAAACAUCACUGGAAUGCAACUGGGAGAGUGGCAAAAGGCAGUUCUGUCUCCAGAGCCGUGCAAAGGGAGACUCAAAUCCAAGCAGAAAUGAGAGAAGUCACUCAGGGAACAGACAUGGACAAAAGUCCUCUUUUACAUUACUCUACACUAUAAAUACAAAUUAGUGUUAAAGGAAUUGGAAGACUUUGGUGCACUAAGGGUAACAGCAACAUAGACUUCAAACCCAGCCCAGCUUCUGACUACAUUAACAUAAACUCUCUACACUAAAGAUCUACCAAAAGGAAAAGUGGAUUCAUUUCAAGAAUAAAAAAUAUUCCCCUCAUUAUCUACUGUCCUAUACAACAUGUCCAGUUUUGAACAACAAGUCCAAGGCAACAAUAAGGCAAAGAAAAACAAAGUCUGAAGAAAAUCACUAAAACCAGAUUCAUAAAUGACAUAGGUGUUGGAGCUAUCAGAUUAGGAAUUCAAAAUAACUCUGAUUUAUAUGUUAAAAACUCUAAUGAAAAAAGCAACAGGGAUCAGAUAGGUAAUUUCGUCAGGCAGUUGAAAACUAUAAGAAAAAAUCAAAGGAAAAUACUAGAAAUCAGCCGGGCGCGGUGGCUCAUGACUGUAAUCCCAGCACUUUGGGAGGCGGGUGGAUCACGAGGUCAAGAGAUCAAGACCAUCCUAGUCAACAUGGUGAAACCUCAUCUCUACUAAAAAUACAAAAAAUUAGCUGGGCACAGUGGCGUGUGCCUGUAAUCCCAGCUACUCAGGAGGCUGAGGCAGGAGAAUUGCCUGAACCCAGGAGGCGGAGGUUGCAGUGAGCUGAGAUUGCGCCAUUGCACUCCAGCCUGGGUAACAAGAGUGAAACUCCAUCUCAAAAAAAAAGAAAAUACUAGAAAUCAAAAACCAGAAACAGAGAUAAAGAAUUUUAUCAGUGGGUUCAUCAGUAGACUUGACAUAGCUGAUGGAAGAAUCAGUAAGUCAGUACCCUUGAAGAUAGGUCAACAGAAAUUACCAAAAUUGAAACACAAUUUAUAACAUACUAAGUCAAUUUUUAGAAGAUAAAAAUGGUCCAGGUGCGGCGGCUCAUGCCUAUAAUCCCAUCACUUUGGGAGGCCAAGGUGGGAGAAUCACCUGAGGUCAGGAGUUCGCAACCAGCCUGGUCAACAUGGUGAAGCCCCAUGUCUACUAAAAAUACAAAAAAAUUCUCUGGGCAUGGUAUGGGAUCCUGUAAUCCCAGCUACUCGAGUGGCUGAGGCAGGAAACUCACUUGAACCUGGGAGGUGGAGGUUGCAAUGAACCAAGAUUACGCUACUGCACUCCAGCCUACAUGACAGAGGGAGACUCUAUCUAAAAAGAAAAAAUUAGCCAGGUGUGGUGGCACACACCUGUAAUCCCAGCUACUCUGGAGGCUGAGGCAGGAGAAUCUCUUGAAUCCAGAAGGUAGAGGUUGCAGUGAGCCAAGAUCACAUCACUGCACUCCAGCCUGGGCAACAAGAGUGAGAUUGUCUUAAAAAAAAAAAAGACAAAAAAUAGAAUUAUCAUGAAAAAUUUCAGUUAAUCCUAGAGAAGACAGAAAAAGAAAAUGGAAGCCAAGAAAAACUAGAACAAAUAGAAAUCAUUGAGCAAGGUAGCAAGUUUUAAUCCAAUCAUAUCAAUAAUCAUUUAAAAUAUGGAUGGUCUAAAAACACCACUUAAAAAGCAGAUACUGGCUGGGAGCGGUGGUUUAAGCCUCUAAUCCCAGCACUUUGGGAGGCCAAGGCAGGCAGAUUGCUUGAGGUCAGGAGUUUGAGACCAGCCUGGCCAACAUAGUGAAACCCUGUCUCUGCUAAAAAUACAAAAAUUAGCCAGAUGUUGUGGCACAUGCCUGUAAUCCCAGCUUCUUGGGAGCCUGAGGCAGGAGAAUCACUUGAACCUGGGAGGCAGAGGUUGCAGUGAGCUGAGAUCACACUACUGCACUCCAGCCUGGAUGAUAUAGUGACACUCUGUCUCAAGAAAGAGAGAGAGAGAGAGAGAGAGAGAGAGAGAGAGAGAGAGAGAGAGAGAGAGAGAGAGAGAGAAAGAAGAGAAGAGAAGGAAAGAAAGAAAGAAAGAAAGAAUGGAUACAUAGCAAUAGUGUAACAUUGGAUUUUUUUAAAAGAUCCAAUUUUAUACCAUCUUCCGGAACCUCAUUUUAAUCUAUGUAAGACUAUCUCACUCUGUUACCCAGGUUGGAAUGCAGUGGCAUGAUCAUGGCUUACUGCAGCCUCAGCCUCCUGGGCUAAAGCAAUCCUCCUACCUCAACCUCCCCAGCAGCUGGGACCAUAGGCAUGAGCCAUCAUGCCCAGCUGAUUAUUCACUGUUUGUAGAGAUGAAGUUUCCCUAUGUUGCCCAGCUGGUCUUGAACUCCUGGGCUCAAGCAAUCCUCCUACCUCAGCCUCCCAAAGGGUUGAUAUUACAGCCAUGAGCCCUCAUGCCUAGUCAUGAACCCCACUUUUAAUAUAAAGACAUAGAUUGGUUAAAAGUGAAAGGUUGGAGAAAGAUACACAUGCAAAUUCUAACUAAAAGAAAGCUUGAAUAGUUAUAUUAAUUUCAGGGAAAAUGGUCUUCAGAACAAGGAAUAUUAUCAAGAAUAAAGAGAGACAUAUAAAGACAAAGUAGUCAAGUCACCGAGAAGACAUAACAAUCCUAAAUAUGUAUGCACCUAACAACAGAGCUUCAAAAACAAAGAUGUUUCCUUAAUUGGUAACAGUCAUUGCACUGCAGGAUUUGGUCAUGGACUCUAUAGCUUUGAACUCUUUCAAAUAGUAACAAAAGAUACAUUCAUGAUAUAGUCAUAUUAAGUCAAGGAAUUCCUUGACAGAUAAGCAUACCACCCAUUUCUAUAGUUUGAAUUUUUCUUUCUAAUCCAGUGAAAUCAUUAGAAAGCUGUGCACCUGAACUGCAAUAUUUUAGUCCUUCAUGGAACUGUUGUUUUUUUUUUUUUUUUUUUUUUUUUGAGACGGAGUUUCGCUCUCGUUACCCAGGCUGGAGUGCAAUGGCGCGAUCUUGGCUCACCGCAGCCUCCGCCUCCUGGGUUCAGGCAAUUCUCCUGCCUCAGCCUCCUGAGUAGCUGGGAUUACAGGCACACGCCACCAUGCCCAGCUGAUUUUUUUGUAUUUUUAAUAGAGACGGGGUUUCACCGUGUUGACCAGGAUGGUCUCCAUCUCUUGACCUCGUGAUCCACCUGCCUCAGCCUCCCAAAGUGCUGGGAUUACAGGCGUGAGCCACCGCGCCUGGCCGGAACUGUUUUCUUAAUUGUACUUCAAUGUUCUGCCAGCAACUUGAACUGAGCGAUAUUAUGAGAAACAAACUACAAUUCCCUAUGGGGUUUACCAUAGGGCUAUUGUUGAGAAAGCUCUCCCUUGUAUCCCAGUGUUCUUUUCAUAAGGGCUCAUGAGAGAGAUUUUGUUUAGGUUUCAGAAGUAGGAAGUCUCUAUUUUCUCUGGUCAUAAUUCUGUAUUUCCUUUGGCAGCUGGGAAGCUCUGAAGAAGAUUUUUAGCUCAUGUAAAUUUAUGGCAUGCAUUUUUUAAUACUAAGCAUACCUGUGAAUUUAUUUUACUUUCCUAUCCUUAUUUUCCUUUAUCUCAAUUUUCCUAUCUGUUUAUUUUUAUUUUGCUACGGUUUUGCUGUAGUUUUUCUUUUAAAACCAAUUUUCUUGAGGCAUGAUUUGCAUGCAAUAAAAUGAAUCCAUCUUAAGUGUAUAGUUCAACACAUUUUGACAAAUAUUAUCAUAUAAUUUUUGUUAGCCAUAUAAAGGCAAUUUUGAAAUAAGUAAACACAAAUAUCAUGAGACAGUCUGUGCUAAUCAUCAUCAUAGAGAUAUAAGUGACUAUGGGAAUAUGAGAGAGGAAGAAAAAUUCUGACUGGAUGGAUAAUGGGAUCAGAAGGGGUGCAGCUCUUAAAAAAUAGUUCUCAUUUUGAAAAGUAAUAUCUCUCCUUCAGUUUUAAAAUUGGAAAUUCGACAGAUCAAUGUGGCAGGAAAGGUAAGCUGGAAAAGGAAAUAGCUUGAAUAAAAACAUGAAGUAAGAAAGGUAGGCACUGUUUCAGUUCAGCUGGAGUAGAAGGUGAGAGGAAAAAGAAUAUGGAGAAAUGAGCUUCUUUGUCACCUUGUAGGAGGUUCUCAAAGCCAAACAAUCUUUCCACAUUGUUGUGCAGGCAAUUGGGAGCCAGAGAAGGUUUUCAGUAGAGAAGAUACAUAAUGAGACGUGUUUUAGAAAGGUCACUCUGAGUAGAUGAGGGUCUGGAGGUAAAGGGGCUGGUGGAAAGGCUUCUUCAGCAGUCCAGGGAUGAUAUAAUGAGGAACUGGACCAAUCAUUGUGAGAAUGAGGGACAGAUGGAAUGAGCUGCACUGUGGCAGGAAAUCUCUAGGAAGGGUCAAAGGAUGGUUUCCAGGAUGCCUGGGAGAGAGACUGAUUACAUAAACGCCAGGAGGAUGGGCAUCCCCAUGAUUCCUGUUCUAGACAGAAGAGUGGCAGGCCCUUGGGUCUUACCUCUCACAACCUCUACAAGUGGAGAAAGUGCAAGUACCAAUCAAAAACCAACCUCUAUUUGGGCUGAUCAUAGUAGUCAGUCCCUUUCCAGUCAGUCCCUGUAACCAGAGCCAAUGGUGUAUAUAAUAUAAUAGGUAACUAUUUAGUGAGGUAACAAUUUUACCUCAAUAAAAAAAAUGAAUAAGGCCAGGCACAGUGGCUCAUGCCUGUAAUCCAAGCACUUUGGGAGACCAAGGCAGGUGGAUAACUUGAGGUCAGUAGUUCAAGACCAGCUUGGCUAAGAAAGUGAAACCCCAUCUCUACUAAAAAUACAAAAAAUUAGCUGGGUAUGGUGGUGCACACCUGUAAUCCCAGCUACUUGGGAAGCUGAGGCAGGAGAAUUGCUUGAGCCCAGGAGGCAGAGGUUGCAGUGAGCCAGUAUCAUGCUAGUGCACUCCAGCCUGGCCAAAAGAGCAAGAUUCCUUCUAAAAUAAAAUAAAAAAUACGUGAAUAAAAUGAUAAUAACUAAUACCUAAAAUGACAGUUACUCUCUGAGGCACUAUUCUAAGCACUUUACUUAUUUUAACUCAUUAUUCCUCACAGAAUUACUAUGAGUUAGAAAUUAUUAUAUACUCAUUUAACAGAUGAGAGAAUCAAGGCAGAGAGAAUAACAAUCUUGUUCCAGAUCACAUAGCUGGUAAAGAGUAGAACCAGAUCCAAACCAGGCAUCUGCUUCCAGAGUCCACACUCUGUUGCAUCAUGCUCUAAUGCUGAUAACUCUGUGUAUUAGUUCAUUCUUACAUUGUUAUAAAGAAUUGAGACUGAGUCGUUUAUAAAGAAAAGAGGUUUUAUUGGCUCACAGUUUCACAGGCUACACAGGAAGCAUGACUGAGGAAGCCUCGGGAAACUUAUAAUAUUGGUAGAAGGUGAGGGGGAAGCAGGCUCAUCUUAUGUGGCUGAAGCAGGGGGAAGAGAGUAAAGCGGAAGGUGCUACAUACUUUUAAACAGCCAUAUCUCAUGAGAACUCACUCACUAUCAUGAGAACAGCAAGGGGGAAAUCCACCCCCAUGAUCCAGUUACCUCCCACCAGGCCCUUCCUUCAACAUUGGGGAUUAUGACUUGACAUGAGAUUUGGGCAGGGACACAAAUCCAAACCAUUAUUCCACCCUUGUCCCCUCUCAAAUCUCAUGUCCUUCUCACAUUGCAAAAUAUAAUCAUCACUUUUCAACAGUCUCCUGAGUCUUAACUCAUUUCAGCAUUAAUUCAAAAGUCCACAUUCCAAAGUCUUGUCUGAGACAAGGGAAAUCCCUUAUACCUAUGAGACUAUAAAUCAAAAACAAGUUAGUUACUUCCAAAAUACAAUGAGAGUAUAGGCGUUGGGUAAAUACAUCCAUUCCAAAAAGGAGAAAUCAUGUAAAACAAAGGUUCCAUAGGCCCCAUGCAAGUCUGAAACCCAGGAGGGCAGUCAUUAAAUCAUAAAGCUCUAAAAUAAUUUCCUUUGAUCCCAUGUCUUAUAUCCAGCCCACCCAUCAGCAAGGGGUGGGCUUCCAAGGCCUUGGACAUCUCUGCCCCUUUAGCUCUGCAGAGUACAGCCCCUUUCAGCUGCUUUCAUGGGCUGGUGCCUGCAGCUUUUCCAGGUACAUGGAGUCUGGAGGAUGGUGGCCCUCUUCUCAUUAGCACUGGGGCAAUGCCCCAGUGGGGACUCUGUGGGGGCUCCAAUCCCACUUUCCCCUCCACCUUGCCCUAGUAGAGGUUCUCCAUGAGGGCUCCACCCCUGCAGCAGACUUCUGUGUGGACAUCCUUCCAUGCCCAUAUAUCCUAUGAAAUCUAGGCAGAAGCUCCCAAGCCUUAACUCUUGUCCUUUAUGCACUUGCAGGCUUAACACAAUGUGGAACUGCCAAGGCUUAUGGCUUGUACACUCUGGAGCAGCAGCCUGAGACCUAUCUGGGGCCCUUUAGCCAUGCCUGGAACUGGAGUGGCUGGGACACAGGGAGCAGUGUUCUGAGGCUGUGAAGGGCAGCAAGGCCCUGGGCCCAGCCCAUGAAACCAUUCUUCCCUCCUAGGCCUCCAGGCUUGUAGUGCAAGAGGGCUUCCACCAAGGUCUCCAAAAUGCCUUCAAGGCAUUUUCCCAUUGUCUUGGCUACUAACAUUAGACUCAUCAUUACUUGUGCAAAUUACUGCAGCUGGCUUGAAGUCCUCUCCACAAAAUGGGUUUUUCUUUUCUACCACAUGGUCAGGUUACAAAUUUUCUAAACUUUUAUACUUUGCUUCCCUUUUAAAUAUAAAUUACAGUUUCAGAUAAUCUCUUUGCUCAUGUCUAUGACCAUAUGCUGUUAGAAGCAGCCAGGCUAUAUCUUGAAUGUUUUACUGCUUAAAAAUUUCUUCCUCCAGAUACCCUAAAUCAUCACUCUCAUGUUCAAAGUUCCACACAUCCCCAGGGCAGGGGCAUAAUGCCUCUAAUCUCUUUUCUAAUGUAUAACAAAAGUGACUUUUGCUCCAGUUCCCAAUAAGUUCCUCAUCUCCAUCUGAGACCCCCUUGGCCUGGACUUCAUUGACCAUAUCACUAUCAGUAUUUUGGUCACACCAGUUUAACAAGUCUCUAGGAAGUUCCCUCAUCUCCUCAUCUCCUUGCCUUCUUCUGAGCCCUCCAGACUCUUCCAACAUUUGCCUGUUACCCUGUUCCAAAGUUGCUUCCACAUUUUCAGUUAUCUUUAUAGCAAUGUCCCACUUCUUGGCACCAAUUUUCUGUAUUAGUCCAUUUUCAUAUUGCUAUAAAGAGCUACCUGAGACUGGGUAGUUUAUAAAGAAAAGAGGUUUUAUUGGUUCAUGGUUCCACAGGGUGUACUGGAAGCAUGACCAAAGAGAAACUUACAAUCAUGGUGGAAGGUGGAAGGUGAAGAGGAAGCAAGGCAUGUGUUACGUGACCGGAGCAGGAAGAAGACAGUGAACAAGGAGGUGCUACACACUUUUAUUUAUUUGUUUAUUUAUUAUUGAGAUAAAAUCUCACUCUGUCACCCAGAAUGGAGUACAGUAGCGCCAUCUCUACUCAUUGCAACCUCUGCCUCCAGAUUCAAGUGAUUCUCUUGCCUCAGCCUUCCAAGUAGCUGGGAUUACAGGCAUGCAUCAUCACACUCAGCUAAUUAUUAUAUUUUUAGUAGAGACAGGGUUGCACCAUAUUGGCCAGGCUGGUCUUGAACUCCUGACCUCAAGUGAUCUGCUUGCCUUGGCCUCCCAGACUGCUGGGAUUACAGGCAUGAGCUGCUGAGCCCAGCUGGUACACACUUUUAAGCAACCAGAUCUUGUGAGAACUUCAUUAUCACAAGAACAGAGAAAGGAGAGUCUGCCUCAUGAUCCAAUCACCUCCCAAUAGGCCCUGACUCCAACACUGGGGAUUACAGUUCAACAUGAGCUUUGGGUGGGGACACAGAUCCAAACCAUAUCACUCUGGGCCUGUAAUAAUUUCCCAGCUCACAUCUGUACUCAAAGAUGUCUCUCAUUGCCUUGAGGUAGGAGGCGUUGAUAUUCCUGGCAGAGAGCAACACAAAUAUGAGAGAAAGCAAUGAAGAUUAAUGUCUGUGGUAUAUUUGGUGCCCUGCCAGUCACUAGGUAUGACUGAAUAGAGUGCAUGGCAGGAUGCUGUAUAUAUACUGUGAUCAAGACCAUUACAAAAUAUGGAAUAGGAUUGGGUGUGGUGGCUCACACCUGCAGUCUCAAUGUAUUGGGAGGCCAGGGGUGGGGUGGGCGUUGCCUGUGGUCAAUAGUUUGAGAUCAGCCUGAGAAACUUAGUGAGACCCUGUCUCUCCAAAAAUAAUGUUUAAAAAAAUUAACUGGCACAACUUGGGAGGCUCAGGCAGGAUGAUCACUUGAGCCCAGGUGUUUCAGGUUGCAGUGAGCCAUGACUGAGCCACUGUACUACAAACUGGGUGACAAACAGAGUGAGACUCUGUCUCUAAUAAAAAAACAACCAACAAAAUGCAGAAUAGAUGUAACAAAAACAUUGGCAAAAUGAAUAUCCAUAGGCAUAUAUGUGCUCGUGUGGGUGCUUGCCUGUUGAGAAAAUGUGAGCUGUUUGACAAUGGCUAAAGUUAGCUAAAUCAAUAGUCUAAAACCCACAGACAUCAGAAUUCCUGGAAAAAGUAUUCACCAGCUAAACAAUCUAAAAAUACACCCAUGGAAGAUAAUCUUGAAAGACAGCAGGCACAGGUCUAAUUGAGAUAAAACGAAACCAAAGCAGAUGACUAGUCUAUAAACCUGCUGAACCUGCAUAUAUCCUGUGAAGACAGGGGUGUGGCCUGGUACUAUCACAAAACCAAAGCCAUAUGAUAUAAACAGACAGAGCCUGGAUUUUUUUUCAGAAAAGCCUCCACAUUUAAACUAUAGACAUUGCUUGUCCUCCCUUCAUCACCUCACACAUGAGAUUUGGCCACCCAUACAUUCAGGCAACAGAUGGGAACUAUCCGAAUUUAUGUACAUAGUUAGAAUCAACAAACAUUAAAGUCUACAUAUGGCAUCAUUUGAAAUUUCCACCAACUCUCUAAGAUACUGGAAUGAUUCCUUGUCAUACGAGGACAU